rnacentral:lncRNA from 1 species
GGCAAACCGCCUCCUGAGGGCUCAGCUCCGGGCAGAUCGUUCAGAAGCACCGGGAGCGCUGAGGGCGUUUCAGGUCUUGUCCAGAAAAGGUGGUUUCCCUGAUGUAUCGUGUUGACUCGAGCCCGUUUCAGAGCUUCGUCUCCCUCGGUUCCAAGUAGUGGGCCUGUGACUACCGUGGAGCUGCCUUGCUAAGAGUCGCUGCUCCAAGAUAGCUCUGCCUGCAGCAGUAAAAUAUUAACCUGCAGGAACACAAAUAGUUAUGGUGCUUAAUCUUAAAAUAUAAAAGGCAUGUGACAGUUAUUUGGUAACAGGGAUUGAACCCAGGGGCACUUUACCACUACAUCCCCAGACUUUUUUUUUUUUUUU